UAGUGAGUAAGUCCCGUUCGAACCUAUGAUGCCUGUGUUUUCAGGAUGGGAGAAGUAGAGCGGGGAUCACGG
rnacentral:ncRNA from 1 species